GAUGAAGAACGUAGCGAAAUGCGAUAAGUAGUGUGAAUUGCAGAAUUCAGUGAAUCAUCGAAUCUUUGAACGCACAUUGCGCCCCUUGGUACUCCAUGGGGCAUGCCUGUUCGAGCGUCAUUUACACCCUCAAGCUCAGCUUGGUGUUGGGCGUCUGUCCCGCUUCGUGCGCGGACUCGCCUCAAAUGCAUUGGCAGCGGUCUUGCCAGCUUCUCGCGCAGCACAUUGCGCUUCUAGAGGCUUUGGCGGAUCGGCGUCCAUCAAGUACACCCACAGUUUGACCUCGGAUCAGGUAGGGAUACCCGCUGAACUUAAGCAUAUAAUAAGCGGAGGA
rnacentral:misc_RNA from 1 species